UACGGGGGGGGGCAAGCGUUGUUCGGAAUUACUGGGCGUAAAGGGCUCGUAGGCGGCCAACUAAGUCAGACGUGAAAUCCCUCGGCUUAACCGGGGAACUGCAUCUGAUACUGGAUGGCUUGAGUUCGGGAGAGGGAUGCGGAAUUCCAGGUGUAGCGGUGAAAUGCGUAGAUAUCUGGAGGAACACCGGUGGCGAAGGCGGCAUCCUGGACCGGCACUGACGCGUGAGGAGCGAAAGCCAGGGGAGCAAAGCGGG
rnacentral:rRNA from 1 species